rnacentral:rRNA from 1 species
CCUACGGGCGGCAGCAGUGAGGAAUAUUGGUCAAUGGACGAGAGUCUGAACCAGCCAAGUAGCGUGAAGGAUGACUGCCCUAUGGGUUGUAAACUUCUUUUAUAUGGGAAUAAAAUGUUCCACGUGUGGGAUUUUGUAUGUACCAUAUGAAUAAGGAUCGGCUAACUCCGUGCCAGCAGCCGCGGUAAUACGGAGGAUCCGAGCGUUAUCCGGAUUUAUUGGGUUUAAAGGGAGCGUAGGUGGAUUGUUAAGUCAGUUGUGAAAGUUUGCGGCUCAACCGUAAAAUUGCAGUUGAAACUGGCAGUCUUGAGUACUGUAGAGGUGGGCGGAAUUCGUGGUGUAGCGGUGAAAUGCUUAGAUAUCACGAAGAACUCCGAUUGCGAAGGCAGUUCACUGGACUGCAACUGACACUGAGGCUCGAAAGUGUGGGUAUCAAACAGGAUUAGAUACCCGGGUAGUC